UACGUAGGGGGCUAGCGUUGUCCGGAAUCAUUGGGCGUAAAGCGCGUGUAGGCGGUCCGGUAAGUCCGCUGUGAAAGUCGGGGGCUCAACCCUCGAAUGCCGGUGGAUACUGUCGGGCUAGAGUGCGGAAGAGGCGAGUGGAAUUCCAGGUGGAGUGGUGAAAUGCGUAGAUAUCUGGAGGAACACCAAAGGCGGAAGGCAGUCGUGCCUA
rnacentral:rRNA from 1 species